GUAAAACCAAACCAAGCCGUCUCUCUCUGUUUGUGUCUCUUUCCUUCCUCUGUAUCUGAAAUCCCUCCUUUCUUAACAGAGGAAGGAAACCCAUCUCCUCCAUCUCUUUUCUCUCUCUAAAGGCGGAGGCUUUUUAGAGAGAGGAAGAGUCACAUUUUCACAUUAAACAGAAUAAAGGAAGAAGAGUAUUUUUGGUUCAAGGGAGGAAAUCAUAGACAUGGGUGGAAAGAAAUUUGCUGUUCUUCUGUGUGCAGAGGACCCUGAGUAUGUGAAAAUGAAGUAUGGAGGGUACUUUGGAGUGUUUUUGAGAAUGCUGGGAGAGGAAGGAGAGACAUGGGAUGUUUAUAAGGUAGCUUGUGGAGAGUUUCCUGAUGAUGAAGAGAUUAAAACCUUUGAUGGGUUUGUCAUCACUGGAAGCUGUAAUGAUGCUCAUGGAAAUGAUGUUUGGAUCCUAAAGCUCUUGAUUCUCUUGCAAAAGUUGAAUUCCAUGAAGAAGAAAAUUCUUGGAAUUUGUUUUGGACACCAGGUAAUUUUUAAUUGUUUAUUUUAGUGUCGGUUUGUGAUUAUUUUAUGCAGUUUAAUGUAUUCUUUAAUAUGAAUGUGCCUCUUGAACUGUCUCUUUAGGUGCCUUGUUUUCUGGGAAAUGGUCAAAUCUUGAUUGCUAUUAGGUUGUUUGGUUUGAUGGAAAAUGUUCCCUUCACAAGAUAUUCGACCUCAAACAAUGAGUUACUGUUAAAACCUGCAAGGCUUCCCUGAAUUUAAAGGCUAAAGAUUCUUAUUCUUUAGUUCAAUGAAAAGAAAUGCUAUUCUGAGUUAGAAAUAUCACACACCAUUCAAUUUCCCUUUGCCAGAAAGGGCAGAAUGGUCUUUCAAAAGUUCAAAUUCUUCCUCUCCAGAGUUGAAUAAAAUACAUUUUUUAAAUAAUAUAAUGCAAUAUGUUAAUAUCAACGUGUAGUGUAAUGCAGAAACUAAAAUGGGUCAUUUACUUCUUUGUUUGAGGUCCCCUUUGCAACCUAAUUCAUGGGUGGUCCUUGUACUGUUCAGUCCUUCUUGAUUGGGACCUUGAAAGCAGUCUUCACAUUUGUAUAGCUCUGAUUUAUACUUACAAAUGAAGUCUUUUAAAGUGGUCCCACAUUUUUGUCUUUACUCUCUUUCCCUACCUUUGAUAGUUGUGGGGUUACAAUUUCAAUUGAAAUUGGAAUAUAUUUUGGGUAUUGAUUCUUUUCCUUUCAAUCCAAUUUUAACCCUAAAUGAAUUGAAUUGUAAUUAGGUUUACAUCAAUUCUAAUUGGCAAAGUUUCUUCUCAUUGAUGAUUAGUUUUGGUUAGUCUUUUGUCUUUGAAGGGCCAUUUUGUGGUUAGGCGUUAGUGCCCAUCUUAUCAUAAGGGAAAAGUAAUAUUGUUUGGUUAUGCUAGUUUCACUUCUUUUGCCAAACUUAGUUUACCGAAAUAUAAAAGUGGGUCUCACAUUAUUUUGAAAUUUAUUAUAUAUAUACCGAACGCAUUUAACAAUCUCACCUUUGGUGGUGCAUAGUUGGAAGACAUUUGUUCUUACGUUUUGUGUACAACAAUCAAUAGAAUACUUCAUAAUAUGAAGCAAGACAUGCAUAAGCUUAUAGAAUAACAUAUCUCCAAGAACAAGAAAGAUUCCUAAACCCAAAUGGGGACAAAAGCCUUAAGUUUUUUAGCCAAAUAGACACGUUAUGUUGUAUAUGAAUGGCAAGAUAAGAUUUGUCGGUAGACUAAUUGGAUCCUUCUCAUUGAGACACAUGGGUAAUUGGGUAUCUCGAUGUUUCUAAUAUAUUUUAUUAUUUUUCAUAUUCAAGAAAAAAAUUAUGAACGUUAUGGGCAUUUUGCCUUUUGGGUAUCUUGUUUUCUAUAGCAAUUCCAACUCAUGCUCAUUGAUUGAUUGAUGGUAACCGUUAACAAAAUAAUGCCAUUCAUCAGGAUUCCAUCUCUUCUUGCAUCCAUACAUGCUUUUAAGCUUUAGUCUAAUUUCAUCAUUUAAUGUGACAUUGUGAUAUUUUUUUUAGAUUUUUCUUGCUUAAAUUUGAUUCAUUAUAGACUCAAGAUAUAAGAUAUAUGGUGGGUCCUCUUAUUAAAUAUAUGGAUCCCACAGAGUCUAUGAUAAAUC
rnacentral:misc_RNA from 1 species